UAUCUACAUGAUAUCAGUGAUUUACUGUCCGGCAGUCAAAAUAGUUUCCUUUCUUCUCUCUUACCCAAGUUCACGUUCUGUUGUCUGGUGUCACUUGAUAAUCUUUCAUUCUCUCUUAAAAAAAAAAAGAAAAAAUCGGGUUCUUCUCUCUCUUUUUCCCAUUAAGAUGUGAAUGGGCAGGCAUCUCGGCCAAUAUGUCUCUACAUGGCUGAAUACACUCGGAGAAAAGGAGGGUCUCCUUUGUCUGGACCCUGGAUGGCUGAGUGUCAUUCCGCGCCGAUGGGCAGGGCCUCCCUCGGAGCAGGAACUUUGCGAUAAUUGCCAGAACAAAUUGAACUCAGGCUUAUUGGUUCCUUUCCUUUUUCAGUUGGGAAAUGGAGGGAAUGGGAGAACACGGCCAUUUUUGACCAAUCACAAUAUAGCGUAGAAAUAGAUUGGACACAGCAGUGCCCAGUGGUGUUGCAGACAGCAAUCACGGGGUGUCCUUGUGCAGGGGUGAGAAGGUGCGUCCCCUCGAUCACCUGUCAAUCCCAGAGGAGCUCAGCCCUGAGUGUUCAUUGGAAGGACUGAUGCUGCAGCUGAAGCUCCACUAUUUUGGCCACCUGAUGUGAAGAACUGACUCAUUGGAAAAGACCCUGAUGCUGGGAAAGAUUGAAGGCAGGAGGAGAAGGGGGCGACAGAGGCUGAGAUGGUUGGAUGGCAUCACCAACUCAGUGGACAUGAGUUUGAAAUCUCGAGGGAUCUGACACCUUUCCUGUAUUUCAUUGGCGGUGCUUCUACACCCGUCUGUGUCUGUGCGACCACGGGUUUUAUUCAGCUGUUAGUUCCACGUGCAUGAUGGUAGCUGGAAGCUGUAAUCGACACACGUGAAGGCAAAUUGAUGCAACCGUAGAGGUCAUGUCAAAGUACAGCUGUACCGUUAUAAUCCAUUCUUGGAAAUACAUUUGGAGAGCUACAGGGAUGAACAGACAGCUCCAGGAGGCAAGCUGGGAUAGUGAAGGGUGUAAAAACCAUGACCUGUAAAGGAGGCUCUUUGUUAAUUGGCGGCAAUACAUCCAGUCUAAGCUUCCUUACAACUGGGUGUGGUCGUGUGUCCUGGUUCUGGCUAGUGAGACGAGCAGAAAUGCCAAGUGUGGCAUCUAGGAACGGUGCUUAAGGAGCGCUGGUUCAUCCGAGAGGGGCGCCCUUCUCUGUCGCAGCUCUGGUCUUCCUUUCUGCUGCUUAUAUGCAUGAGAUGGCUAGAGCAGCAGUGACUGAAUUAGACCGUGAAACAUCUGAGAACAAAUGACGCAGGCUGAGAACGGCAAGGCGGAAAACUAAGACGGAUGCCGAUCCCUAGGGACCAGUGCACUGCCGCAGCCACCCCUGACUGCUUUUUCAUGAGAC
ensembl:lncRNA